GACGAACGCUGGCGGCGUGCUUAACACAUGCAAGUCGAGCGGUAAGGCCCUUUCGGGGGUACACGAGCGGCGAACGGGUGAGUAACACGUGGGUGACCUGCCCUCAGCUCUGGGAUAAGCCUGGGAAACCGGGUCUAAUACUGGAUAUGACUCCAUGACGCAUGUUGUGGGGUGGAAAGCCUUGUGCGGCUGAGGAUGGGCCCGCGGCCUAUCAGCUUGUUGGUGGGGUGANGGCCUACCAAGGCGACGACGGGUAGCCGGCCUGAGAGGGCGACCGGCCACACUGGGACUGAGACACGGCCCAGACUCCUACGGGAGGGCAGCAGUGGGGAAUCUUGCGCAAUGGGCGAAAGCCUGACGCAGCGACGCCGCGUGAGGGA
rnacentral:rRNA from 1 species